UUAGUGAUUUUUUCCAUAUUUUUUUUCUGUGCAAAUCAGUAAAUUUAAGGACUCUCAUGAGUCAUGACAUGCUUUCAAGGAUGCCAAGAAGUUUUUCUGGUCCACUACUAGUGAGCGAAAAGCUGUACUUUUGGUAGAAUUACCAAGUGAAUAAGAGAGAGCAACGAGUAGCUGUCCAAUUUUUUAAUCAACCUGCAAGGAAGACAAGGUGUCAUAUUGGACGUUACACUCCAUGAUUUGGAUGCUGCAAAUGCUCUCCCACAAGGAGGACAAGAUAUAUUAUUGCUCAUGGGCCAGAUGAUGAAACUUAGGAAGACUGAAAUUAUUGAAAAGCUAUGACAAGAAAUUAACAAGUGCUGCGUUCCUCGUUCUAUAUGGCAUUGCUUUGCCAACUGAGGGAUGGGGUGUUGUCUCUAGUUUGAAAAUCUAUCCACCUUUUGCUGGUGCUGUUGUAUUAGCAAUUACUUUUGCUGUGGCCUUUGGGUUUGCUGUAUCUUGUCUGUGCCUGACACUUAAGAUUUACAUUUUAUUGCCAGAUGAUGGAAGAUGCUAUGCAUUUUCUCAGUAAGGAAACUGUUGUUUAGGCAAUUGCUCGGUCUGACACUAAAGUGAUAGCUAUUAUGUUUCUCUCUUCUUAGCUACAAUAACCGACCGAGUGGACUUGCUAGUGGUGUUUAAAAGUUAGACUGAUUCAAUCAAGAUGAGGUAGUUUCCGAGAUUAUUAUCUCAAGACAUUUCAACAGGAAGGGAUUUACAAGAAAGCUGAGGAUAUGAACUACCACUUGGUGUGCUUCCACAUUCUUGCAGAUUCUAUUAGAAGUGCAGGUUUGAUCUUUGCACCAUGGUUCUUUCCCUUGGGGUAAAGAAUGCUGAGGUGUCAUGCAUGUGGCUUGUUUCAGUUGUGGUGUUCAUGGUCGUCAUGCCACAUUUUAGAGCAUCUGGCAGCAUCUUGCUUCAGACAGUGCCUCCUAGCAUACCACCCUCAGCUUUUAGUAAGUGCUUGAAGCAUGUUUAUUUACUCUCCCUAGACUUCUUCCAGUAAUUAUAGCAUACUGCCCUUAGUUUUUUUACAUUUGAUUUUCAAUUUGCAAUAAUAAAAAAAAAAAGAAAUAAAAAUAAAAAUCAAUGCUUGAUUUUGAUCUAUGCCUUUAUGUUCCCAAAGCUUUCUGAAUUUUAUUCAUGUUUUAUUUUACUGAUUUGCAUGCAGAAAAUUUCUAGGCUUCCCCCCCUGAAGUGUGAGGUGAUGCUGAAAUCUGCAUAUUUUGGAAGCCCAAUUUGAACUGUGAUACGUGUGCAGGUCAAGGGCAUUGAGUACAAAGUAUAACUCUCUCCCAAACGAAUCUUCUCAACCAUUUGAGACCGUGAUUGAGAUGAAUUUGUGUAAGCUAUCACUCAUCUCUCUCCCUAUGCAAUUUAUUUCCCA